rnacentral:rRNA from 1 species
ACGCUGGCGGCGUGCUUAAUACAUGCAAGUCAACUUGACUUUAGAUAGCAAUAUCGAAAAGUAGGGUGGCGCACGGGUGCGUAACGCGUAGGUAAUCUGCCCUGAGGUCUGACAUAACCCGUCGAAAGGCGGGCUAACAUCAGAUGAUAUAUAAUCACGACAUCGUGGAAAUAUCAAAUCUUCGGAGCCCUUGGGAUGAGCCUGCGUCUGAUUAGGUAGUUGGCGGAGUAAUAGCCCACCAAGCCUACGAUCAGUAGCUGGUCUGAGAGGAUGAUCAGCCACACUGGAACUGAGACACGGUCCAGACUCCUACGGGAGGCAGCAGUAAGGAAUAUUGCUCAAUGGGGGAAACCCUGAAGCAGCAACGCCGCGUGAAGGAUGAAAUACUUUUGUAUGUAAACUUCUGUAAGAUGGGAAAAAUAUUCUCCUCGGGAGAAUUGAUUGCACCAUCAGAGUAAGCCCCGGCUAACUACGUG